AGAGUCCUGUAGUGUUCGCCAGAGACCGCUAUGUUUUGACCGAACAUAUUUUUGAUCGGGAGCUUGUGUUUUCAUCAGGAAUACAUGCCUUGAACUACGAGGACGUAUGAAUGAUGGGACAGGGCACCCACCUGCUGAGUGCGGGUUUCAAAACAACGGUUGUUAAAGACGGCACAUAAUGGGACUUUU
rnacentral:other from 1 species